GGAAAUAUUAGAUUUUCUGCAAUUUCUUAUUCUCCAAGCAAACAAAAACCAUGACAGUAUUUAUUCACAUGCUUUACUAUUGUUGACUGCUGGAUUAAUUUUUGAAAUAAUGGAAGAACAUGUUAGCUAAAAGUUUCUGUUUGUCUCAACUCAGGUGGCAGAAUGUUGCAUACCAACCACCUCUUUCUGCAGUGCAGGGUUGUUUCAUUUUUCUUCUUUUCUAGGGCACCAAGCCAACUUCCAUUUUAAGGUACAUUCUCUGCCAGCAAAAUCAUACAAUUUCCAAACAACUUAGAUUCCCAUUGGAGCUACAUGA
rnacentral:lncRNA from 1 species